rnacentral:rRNA from 1 species
AUUGAACGCUGGCGGCAUGCCUUACACAUGCAAGUCGAACGGCAGCACGGGUGCUUGCCCCUGGUGGCGAGUGGCGAACGGGUGAGUAAUACAUCGGAACAUGUCCUGUAGUGGGGGAUAGCCCGGCGAAAGCCGGAUUAAUACCGCAUACGAUCUACGGAUGAAAGCGGGGGACCUUCGGGCCUCGCGCUAUAGGGUUGGCCGAUGGCUGAUUAGCUGGUUGGGGGGGUAAAGGCCUACCAAGGCGACGUGCAGUAUCUGGUCUGAGAGGACGACCAGCCACACUGGGACUGAGACACGGCCCAGACUCCUACGGGAGGCAGCAGUGGGGAAUUUUGGACAAUGGGCGAAAGCCUGAUCCAGCAAUGCCGCGUGUGUGAAGAAGGCCUUCGGGUUGUAAAGCACUUUUGUCCGGAAAGAAAUCCUUGGCCCUAAUACGGUCGGGGGAUGACGGUACCGGAAGAAUAAGCACCGGCUAACUACGUG